GGAGAAUUAGCUCAGCUGGUUAGAGCGCUCGCCUCACACGCGAGAGGUCAGCAGUUCGAGUCUGCUAUUCUCCACCA
rnacentral:tRNA from 4 species